CCCUUAGAUGUUCUGGGCAGCACGCGCGCUACAAUGGUCUUCGCAAACGGAUGCAUUCUCGAAGGAGAAUGCCAAUCUUGGAAUCUAUGCCUUGGUCGGGACAGUUGCUUGCAAUUUUUCGACUCGAACCAGGAAUUCCUUGUAAUCGUGAUUCAUCACAUCACGAUGAAUACGUCCCUGCCCUUUGUACACACCGCCCGUCGCUCCUACCGAUCGAAGAGUUAGGUGAAUUGUUUUGAUCGAUAAGAUUUGACUAUGGUCAGCUCUCGUUGUGAAAUUCUGUGAAUCUGACUGUUUAGAGGAAGGAAAAGUCGUAACA
rnacentral:rRNA from 1 species